UAAGCUUUCAGCUAGUCAAAUAAGUUAUAAGCUAGCUGAAAUGGCAUGCCCAACAUAGCCUUACACUCUGUCACUAUUCACUCUCCCUCACGCUCUCCCACUCACUCACUCGACAUCUCUCUCUCACUUUCUUUUCUCCCACCAACAUUUUCUUCUUCAUUUUAUUCCUCUGGAACAAAAACACCUCACCAUCAUCUUCUUCUUCUUCUCCUUCUCCUGAUGACAGCCACCACACUCAUCAUCACCGCCACCAUGUUCUUUUCCUCUCUUCCUGGUUGUACCCACCCACAGCCGUCACCACCAUGUGCCAAAACGCCACCACCACGCGUUUCCUCCUCUGCUCCGGCGAAGCCCAGACGCGAGCACCACCAUCCCUCACGCCCAGCCCCAUGAACGACCCACCACGGCCACCAUGGAUGCGAAAACCAGAGAGAAAACGAAACCCUAAAAUCGCCACCUUCAAGCUCCGAUCUCCGGCGAACCACUGAUCUUUUGGAGAAAUCAACACCACCGUUGGACUCCUCUCAUCACCCGCAACAAAACCCCAAAUAAAUUUGAUGUUCCGACAACCCCUGCCGAAAUCCGCCGCCAGCCGCCGCCCACCACCGUCUUCUCCGGCCAACCUUCGCCGGAGGACUCACUCAGUUCAGAACCAGGAAGCCCUUUCUCUCCUCUGCUCGAUUUGAUGAUCAAUUUUUGAGCUUGAUGGUCCUCAGAGGAAGGCAGAAGCUGCUGUUACAGAAGAUGAAGAAGCAAAUUCAGAACCUUAGCCAUGAGGCUUAAGGUAGAAAACGAAAUAUUUUUCUAUUUUGGGUAUUGUUUAAAUUUUUGUAGGGGCUGAAAAUGUUUUUGAAAAUUUAAGGGUAUUUGAGAUGGUUAAUCUCUAAUUAGUUCUGUUGUUGAUGUAUUGAUUACCUCUGAAUGAGCAUGGGUUCGAUAUUAGAUUAGGAGAAGUUUAUGCUGUUGUUGUCCUGUGAUUGAAGUAGCCGCUGUUCUGCCAAAUUCGUUUGUUUCGGUUCGGAUUUUGGAACUGUGUUCUUCAUUGUUAAACUUUUGCCGCUGGUUUCAUGUCGUUUCGA